UUAAGUUCUGACACUAACCAGAGUUAGUGCAACCCCACAGGUAAAGGGCUAAUCUCACAUGACUGCCCUCACUUCAAAAGCCAAUAAUAAGUUGUACGUCCCCUGGUUACCCACAACUUCUGUCUGAUUGGGCUCCAAAUCAGAAGGUCCCAAGACCCUCCUCCUUGGAUUGAAUAAUUUGCUAGAAGAGCUGACAGAAAUCAGGGAAACCCAUUUACCAGUUUAUUGUAUAGGAUACGGGAUACAGAUGAAUAACCAGAUGAAGAGGUACUUGCAAUGAGGCGUGUCCUGAGUGCAGGAGUUUCUGUCCCUCUGAAGUUAGGGUUCACAGCCCUCCCAGCACAUCGGUGUGCUCACCAGCCUGGAAGCUCUCUGAACCCCACACUUUAGGGAUUUUUAUGAAUGUUCAUCCUGUAGACAUGAUCUAUUAUUAACUCCAUUUCCAGCCCAUCUUCACUCUUUGGAGAAUGGAUAGUGUGAGCGUGUGAUUAUACCGGGUAACUCCAUGGUCUAUUGCAAGCACCCAUUUUAGUGGUGGUUGGGAGGAUUAAAUAAGGUUACACACAUAGAACAUCCCAAAUUUUAUCAUUUCCCAGGGUUAGCAUCAUUGGGGAUUCUACUAGUUUCUAACAGAUAUGACUCCUGGAGGGAAGCAUUCAUGAGACAAGAAGUUACAGAAGACCAGUGGCUUGAAGGUUUCCUUUGGGUAGAUUUAGAGACUGCAUUAGAAGUUUGACCAUCGUCUACAAUAUAUGGGUUUCUUGGCCCCAUUUAUAUCAACUCCACUCUCCUAAACCUUAACCCAGACAUUUAGCGAUCCUGAUAUCAAAUUCAAGAAUAAAGCAAAUCAGUCCAUUUAUUUAAGAGGGAGAAUGAACCAGUUGUAUUUAUGUGCAUAUGAUGAGGAAGAGAGGAAGCUGAGCUCUGUGUUACAAACUGAGAACUUGGGUGAGAAAGGUACAUAGAUUAAUUUAUAGGAUUCUGUCAGCAAUGCUAUUUUAAAAAUAGGCUCUCUGGCAAACAAAAGUGAAACAACUGGAAUUGCUCCAGCCUUGGGCUUGUAAAACCAGCAGUCAGCGAAUCCAAUAAACAGAUGCACAUUCCUGCCUUGAACCACGCCUCCUCCCCCACCCUCUUCCCCAUCCUACACACCAGCACUCAUGAAAAUAUUCAAACUUGGUUUACAAAACCACAGCCUCAACCCACAUUCACCACAGCCACAGUCUCUUAUCUCCUCUCCUUUGGCCGUUUCCCAGCAUACUGACUCUUCUGCCCAGCUUUGCAUGCUUCACAUAUAAGAGUGAAGCUCAUCUUUGGCAGAAUCAUUCAUAAAGGAAAUUGACUAGGAUGGAGCCUGUGUUGAAGCAUUAAGGACUUCCUUUUGCAUCUGCAUCCAUUCUUUUUUUUUUUUUUUUGGUCUUUUUUUUUGCCAUUUCUUGGGCCGCUCCAGCGGCAUAUGGAGGUUCCCAGGCUAGGGGUCGAAUCGGAGCUGUAGACUCUGGCCUACGCCAGAGCCACAGCAACGUGGGAUCCUAGCCAUGUCUGCAACCUACGCCACAGCUCACGGCAACGCCGGAUCGUUAACCCACUGAGCAAGGGCAGGGACCGAACCCGCAACCUCAUGGUUCCUAGUCGGAUUCGUUAACCACUGCGCCACGACGGGAACUCCUGCAUCCAUUCUUUAGCUUCUGAAGGAGUGUUGUUCAACCAGCUAGGAAUACCUAUGGUGGAGUUACUUGUUCAUUCCCUAAAUAUUUUGAAUUUUAUUUUAUGCCAAGUACUGUGCUGGGGACCAAAGAUAGGGCAGGGUACAGAUCCCAACCCUUCCCUUGAGGGGAGUCUGGUAGGGAGACAAACAGGUAAACAGGAGUGCUGGACAUGUUGGGAACAGACAGGCUAGAGAGAAGGCAGGGCAUAGCUAUGAAGGGCUCCUUGAGGAAGGGCAAACAGAAGUUUAUUAAGUGAAGGUGGGGAAGAGAGUUGUGAAAGGAAUUGAAGGCAUAGCAUAUGCAAAGUCCUGGGAGUAAAAUUCCAUAUUAAUUUGCCAAUUAGGAUAUUAUAAGAGAAUUAGUAUCACCAUCCAUGUGUUCCAAAUUCUUGGUCCACAAGCUGACCAUUAAGUUGAAGGAAGUCCAGCAGUGCUGGUAGAGGCAAUGGGCUGAGACCAACGAUUGGGCCAGUAGAAAACAUCUGAAAUUUGAGAUUGAAGGUCUUUAGGAAUUAUGGCUUUUUUGUUGUUGUUGUUGUUGUUGUAGUUUAUCCCCAAACUUGCUACUUUCUAGUGUUGUAAACCAGUGACUUACGUACUAUAAUACCUGCCUGACUCCUAUGAGAUCCUGAUCUCUGGUCUCUGUCAUUCUCUUAACUUUUUUUUUUCUUUUUUUUUUUGCUGCACCCAGAGCAUGGGGACGUUCCUGGGCCAGGGAUCAAUCUUGCGACACAGCAGUGACCCAAGCUACUGCAGUGACAAGGCCAGGUCCUUAACCUACUGAGCCACCAGGGAACUCCUUUUUUUGUUUGUUUUGAUUUUUAUUUCUUUCUUUAUUUUUCUUUUUAGGGCUGCACCUGUGGCAUAUGGAAUUUCCUAGGCUAGGGAGCUGCAUCUUCCUAAGCCAUGGCAACACUGGCCAUAUCUGCGAACUAUACCACAGCUUGUGGCAAUGCCAGACCCUUAACCCACUGAGCAAGGCCAGGGAUCAAAACUGCAUCAUCACAGAGACUACGUCCAGUUCUUAACCCGCUGAGCCACAAUGGAAACUCUUUGAUUUUUAAUAUCAAUAGCUUGAUUGCUAGAUAGAUAGAUCAUUCUUUCAUUCAACAAAUGUUUAUUUUGGAACUAUGAGGAGGGCUGGAUAUAUACCGGUAAUUUUGGCUCUCAUAGACCUUAAAGUCUGAAAUAGAAGACAGAUAAGUAAAUAAACAAAUGGAUGUAUAAUAUAUAAAUUAUGACAAGUGCUUUGAGGGUGGUGAGAGUUGGUCUACGUUAGACUGAGUGGCUAGAGAAGGCUUCUCUGAGGGAGAAUGUUCAAGCAAAGCCUGGAAGGAUGAGAAGAAAGUCUUUGGAAGAAUGUUGAGGAAAUGUCUUCCAGGCAGCAAAAGUCAAGGCAAAGAUGAAGUUGGGCAGGUUGUGACUUGCACAAAAGUGCUUCUGCUCACCAAACCAUCCACCUAGUCCAGGGCCGUGUCUGUCCAGAGGAAGCGGUGUGCACAUUACAGAAUGGGGAGCAGAAGGCACUGGAGAAGGCCCUGUAGAAAUAACCAAAGAUAGCAGAUCUUUGCACUUGGAAGAACAGAUGUCCUUGUAAAGUAGAAUGAACACUAAGGAGGUGGAGAGGGUGGAGUUGGGCAUGGAUUAAGCUGUCGAUGUUGUGGGAAGUCCAGUGAUGCUGGGAAGGCAGUUUGUGGAGAGCACCAUGACAGUGAUAACAUCAGGGAAGCGUCUCCACUUGGAGACCCAAUAAGACAGCUCAUCUAGCUUCUAGGUAGGUCAGUUCUCUGGGAAGAAAACAUUUAUUAAUACAAAGAAUUGAAGGAAAGGAAGCCUCCGGCCAUUGGACCCUGGUGGACACUGGUCUCCGGCUCCAUGGGAAAGAGGAAGGAAAUAGAAGGAAAAAGGGUUAGAACUAAGUAACAAUACAGAAACCUACUCACUAGAACUGGGUCCUGGGAUCAGGAGAGCAUCAGGGCAAAGUUCUCUGCCUGUGAUGUGAUCGGUUUGUGGCCUUGACAUUCUUUCCAUAGAGAAAUUUGAGGCAGGCAAAGCUUGGCUUGUACAAAGGACUUAAGCUACUUCAGAUCUGAUGAUUAGAUGGACAAUGGUAGUUAGGCAAGUCAUAACACGGUCUACCCACCUGGUGCUUUAAACAAAGCAUAGUGUAAAUUUCGUUUGACGUGACUCAGUCUGGGUAUAUUAGCGGCAACUCUUAGUCAUUUGUGCAUUCUUUUCUUGGUUGCAUCAGACAGUUCAUAUCCACCACCUCACAUCCUCUCUACCACUCCUGUCCCCGGGGGCCCUCGGCCAUUUAUUUUCCCAGUUGCUAUGGCAAUGAGCUUCACAUGCCCAACAAUGCCCCACUUCCUGCCCCAGCUGUACAUGACUUGCUUGCUGCUCUGGGCUUUCCUUAUGGCCUCUACGGUGUGAGAUGCUGUGGAAUCUGAACUGGCACCGUGGUCUAUGUAACCUGAGAGUGUGGGUGACUUAAUGUUUUGUGAGGUAAACUUGGGUCAAGGUGGCAUGGAAGCUAGCUGGUAAAUUCUUCCUUCCUCCCCUGAGACCUAGCAGUCUACGUGUCUCAGAAGAUGACUUUACCAGAUGGAAGAGACAAUUGUCUUCGUUUCCAAACCAUGGCUGACUGAAUGGCCUUCCUUCUCUGCUGCACUCCCCCUCUGCCUCAUUUCUAUUUCUUGGCAUGGCACCUUUAAUGACAGAGUAGUGUAGAAGAUUUUGUUUCAGGCUUUGUCAAGAUACUAUCUGUUUUAGAACUGUGUUGGGGCUAGCUUAUAGGUUAGUAGCUGCACAAUCCAAUAUUAGCCAAAAGCGAAAUGUGGCUAUAGAGCACUCACAAUGUGGCUGAUCCUAAUUAAGACAUUGUGUAAGUUUGGAGUUCCUAUUGUGGCUCAGUGGAUUAAGAACCCAACAGAGUGUCUGUGAAGAUAUGGGUUUCAAACCUGGCCUCACUCAGAAAGUUAAGGAUCUGAUGUUGCUGAAAGCUGCUAUAUAGGUCACAGACGUGGCUCAGAUCCAGUGUUACUGUGUCUGUGGUGUAGGCCUGCAGCUGCAGCUCUGGUUCAGCCCCUGGCCUGGGAACUUCCAUAUGCCAUGGGUGCAGCUGUUUAAAAAAAAAAAAAGAUGUUGUGUAAGUUUAAGACAUGUUGGGGGUAGGGGUGGGGCAAGAUGGCAGAGUAGGAAGACCCUGAGCCCACCUCCUCUGAUGGACACACCAAAAUUACAACUAUUUAGAUUUCGAUUGAUGAGAGUGACCCAAAGAAUAAAAGAAAAUAUUUUCCAUAACACAAAGAGAUGGAUAAGAGGGGCUCAGAUGCAGUGUAGUCAAGCUACCAUGGAUGUGAGACCUACAAAUGGGAAGAUAAUCACGAUUGCAGAGAUUCUCCCUAAGAAGUCAGGGGUCCAAGCUCCACAUCAGGCUCCCCAACAUAGGGGUUCUGCACCAGGAAAAUGAACUCCCAGAACAUCUGGCUUUGAAGGCCAGCAGAGCUUAUGUACAUGGGAGCUGUUUGAAUCAGACUCUGCUCUUAAAAAAUUUUUUGGUCUAUCCCAUGAUGGAGAAGAAUACCAAAAACUCUGUCCCAGGAGAUUGGAUAUAGUUCCCUGUGCUGUACAGUAGGACCUCAUUGCUUAUCCAUUCUAAAUGUGAUAGUUUGCAUCUAGUAACCCCCAACCCCAGUCCAUCCCCCUCCCUCCCCCUCUCUCUCCCCCUUGGCAAACACAAGUCUGUUCUCUAGGUCUGUGCAGAGCCUCCAGUCUUAAAGGGCUCAUGUAGAAUCUCACACUUUCUGAGUUCUAGCUCAGAGAUAGUAAUUUGAAAGGUGCCUGGGUUAGACUUACUUGCUGAGACUCCCUCUUUGGGACACAAUGUGGGUGGCAGCCAUUUCUGGGACCUCAUUCUAUAACAAGGACACUGGCCCUGGAAAGUGCCAUUUUGGAGGCUUUCCUCCAGCCUAUGAGUGAGGGGCUUAUCUGUCUACCAGCAGGUCAGCAAUAGUCCAGGAUCCCCUCAGAGCCACAUAGUCAGCUGGGUGGGGGUGUACCCCGUCCACCAUCAGAGUGGCAGCCACUGCAUGAAAGAGGACCUCACAGCCAAUGUUGAGGGGAGCAAAUGUUCCUACCAGUGUGCCCACAGUAGUUGGCCCAUCACAAAGGAAGAGCCCACAUAAGGGGCACCCCUAGAGCAUAUAGAGUAUGCUCCUUAGCCCCACAGAAUGUCUCCCAGAUAGGGUUAUUUCUGGAAGAUCAGGAAACACAACCAAGAUACCUAGUAUUAGAAAUUAGCACAGAAAACAAGGCAAAAAGAG
rnacentral:lncRNA from 1 species